rnacentral:lncRNA from 1 species
UGGUAGAUAGAGAUGUUGUGAGCAGGGGGAAGCCCUCAUUCAGACCUCUUCUCUGUGUAACUCAAAGCACAAUUUUCUUCUCAGGCUGCCAUGAUGCAAAACUGGAUCCCUAACAUCACAAGGUGGUUCUUUGGACUAUCACAAAAAGUAAAAUUAGAAAAUUACAAAAAGCAAAAGAAAAAUACCCCACUUCUUCUAAACUCAAGGAUGAUCUACUUGAACUCCUUGUUCCAGGAGUUCCAGCAAGGAACAUGACAGAAGUAAAGAGACCACAGACCAAGAAAAACUUAGAGAAGACAAUAAAUACGAACACCCUCAGGAAUGAGUGGCGAUGAGUAAAUUUCACAGCAGACUAGACUUCAUGUACAGGCUCUUAAGAAUCCGCUUUCUACUGAUAUUUUCUUGGAACUGAGGGAAGAUAUGGACUUGCCUUCAUCCACACAGCAUGCUUUAUUUUAUUGCCUUUAAGGCUGUGUUG